UUAUUUUCCUAUUUAAUGAAUAUCUAAUCUUUAUUUUCAUUCUUGUCCUUUUCUUGAGUUUAUUCUAAUGUUCAUUUUCUGACUCAAAUUGGAUGUUUAAAAAUCUUUUAGUCUUUUACAUGAGCCUUAAAUGCUGUAAAUUUUCCUCAAGGUACUGCUUUACCUGUGUUCUGUACAUUUUGAUAUGUAGUAUUUUUGUUUAACUGUAUUUUCUGAUUUCUUUUGUUUUCUUCAUUGACCUAUGAGUUAUUUCAAAAUAUGUUUCUUAAUGUUCUAGUCUGUUUUUUCUCCCAGUUUUUUGUCAUUGUCAUUGAUUUUGAACUGUCUUCAUGCAAGUCUGAGAAUGUGGUCUGUGUAUCAGUCCUUUGAAAUUUGCUGAGGCUUUAUGACUGGAUCAAAUAUGUGGUUAAUAUUCAUAAAAGUUCCGUGUGCAUUUCAAAAAUACGUAUUCUGCAGUCACAUGUAAUUCCCUGUAUGUGUCCAUGACAUCACGUGUGUUAAUUAUGUAGUAAUUAGCAUAAUUUGUUGUCUGAGCUCUCAUUACUGGGAGAAAUACAUUACAGUCUUCCAUUAUCAUAGAGGAUUUAUCUUUCUCUUUAUCCAUUUUACUUUAUACAUUUUGAGAUGUUAUUAGGUGCAUAAGAGUUUUAGAAAUUUAUGAGUUUUACCUUCUAUCACUACAAAGUGACUUCAAAAAUUCUAGUAGUUGACGUCUAGUAAUAUUUUUUGCCUUUAAGUCUGUUUAGUUUAUAUAUUUAUGUUUUAGGUGUAUUCUUGUAAAUAGCAUAUAGCUGGAUUUUUAGUCCAUAUUGUUUCCUUGAAGCAUUUAGAUUGCUUAAUUUUAUGUAAUUACUGAGGUAUUAUUGAUGAAUUCUCUUAUUUGUGAUUUUUAUUCUACAUUCUUUUUUCCUCUCCUCUCUUGCCUUCUUUAGAUUUACUGAGCUUUUCCUCCCUGCAUUCAAUGUGUUUCUUCUACUGCUUUGGAAGUAAUUUAGUAUUGUUCUUCCUUCUGUGAUUACCUGAGAUGGGGUCUCUUCUAUUUUCCCACGAUGGUCUCCAGCUGCUGGUCUCAAGCAAUCCUUCUGCCUCAGCCUCCCAAACUGCUGGUAUGACAGGUGUGAGCCACUGCACCCAGCCUAAUUGAUGCUCUUUGAAGGUAAUUAAAAAAAAAUCUGCUUGUAAGGUUUUGUUGUCUUAGUAAUCUUGCAGUUUUACUAUAUUGUAUUUAGCUGUGGAUUUCUUUUUAUUUACCAUAAUUAGGAUUUGUUGAGCUUAAGUUUAUAUAUUGGUGUUUUUUAUGAUUUCUUGAAAAACUUUUAGCCAUGACUCUUCAAAGAUUGCUUCUGUUCCAUAAAAAAUUAUUUUCUCCUUUUGAAAUAGAUCAGACAUAUAUGGGAUCUUACCUUUCAUGUCUUAACUUCCCUUUGAUAUGUUUCACCUCUUUAUGUCUCUGUGUUGUAUUCCAAAUUUCUUCAGAUCUCACUUCUGCUUCACUAAUACUCUCUUCAGCUGUGUAAUCUGUUGUAAAACUAUUCACUGGAUUAUUUUUAGUGAUUUUAAAACGUUUUCUUGAAAUUUGUUUAGUAUUUUUGAAUAUUUACUCUUCACUUGUUUUCAAGCUGCCUGUUUCUAGAAAUAUAUUAAACGUGCUUAUUUUCUCUUC